GGUAUCUCAGUGGUAGAGUGCUUGCCUUGCAUGCAUGAGGACCUGGGUUUGAUUCCUCAGUACCA
rnacentral:tRNA from 1 species